rnacentral:rRNA from 1 species
UACGAACUGUGCGAACGUUAUUCGGAAUCACUGGGCUUACAGGGUGCGUAGGCGGCUUUUCAAGUCAGGUGUGAAAGCCCCCCGGCUCAACCGGGGGAAUUGCGCUUGAAACUGGAGAGCUCGAGUCAGCUAGAGGUGCACGGAACUUCCAGUGGAGCGGUGAAAUGUGUUGAUAUUGGAAGGAACACCGGAGGCGAAAGCGGUGCACUGGGGCUGGUCUGACGCUGAGGCACGAAAGCCAGGGUAGCGAACGGG